CGUGUAAGCAAAUGGUCCCGACUGACCUCCGGUAAAGCAUUGAUUCCGGAAGCAUUUAACAGACCUAACAACCUUUCAAACCGCAUGGCGUUUCUUUCCCGGAUCCCGUUUCAGGAACGUUUCUGUUGGCUACAAGGACCGUCUCCAACAUGCUUAGGCUCUGUGAACUUUCCCAGGAUCCUGAGUAGGGUAUCCGCCAUUCGUCCUUAGGGCUCCGGGAUGUCUCGUUCUUACUGUGUCCCUGCCAACCCUGGUCCCAUCUCGUCAUGAUCACCCACUGCAGAAGAGAGGAGGUGCUAGAGUGAACAGGGUCAGGGGAGCCCCGUUCAUCCCCAGGGUCCCAGAAUGAACCAGUGUUACCAUGUACCCCUGCCCUUGCCUUCCUCCCUGCUCUAAUGGCCGUGUGUUAGCCGGAGAUCAGUUUGGGUCUGGGUGCUAUGGGUCUGUUGCGCCUGUGGCCUUGGUCCGGCCUCUGUCCUUGUCUCUGUGAAAUGAGAGUGACUGUGCCUGAGAGCGUUCCAGCAAGACAAUGAUGAUCUCCACUGUCUGAUUCCCGCUUCCCAGGUUCUCACAGUAGACGAGGAGCCUGUUUUUCAGCUAGCUGCCACAAGGGGGCUGGAAAUUUCUCCCUUCAGAGUGGACCUGGAAGGCUUGGAAGCAUCUGGAGAAGGGCAUGGCCACGAGUAGAGAAAUCCAGGCUACAGGCAGAAGUGGGAGGAAGCGAGAGAGGAAGACUCAUGGAAAGCCUUGCUGCACUCGCCAAAAGAGCUGCCCUCGGACUCAAGAGGGCCACGUUCAAUGUCAACCUGACAUAAGAAGAGCCAUGUGACGGGAUCCGUGGUUUGGCAGAGGAGACAUGCGAGAAGACGGAACGUUUUGUCCGAAUAGACAUCUGGCAGGGUGGAACGGAGAGAACAGGUAUGGUGGAGAGAACGUCUGAGAAGGUCGCAGGAUUCGCAGGAGCAUCGGGAAAAGAUUGCCUGCUUGCCCGAAGGAAUGGCAAGUUCCAAAGGUGUCUUUUGAAGAGGCAGUCAAGUCAGCAGCUCGCGGUGACCUUCUGGUAACAUCGUAUGGGCUGGGUUACAGCACAUGCCGACUGCUAAGCCGGUCACUGGGGAAAACCAUG
rnacentral:lncRNA from 1 species